ACCCGUGUCCCCUGUAUCGGCAGGCGGAUUCUCAACCACUGCGCCACGAGGCUUAAAUAUUUAAGAAAUGUAUAAAUGGCUGAAAAUCUACGAAAGAACUCUAAAAAACUUUGGGAAAAUGCUAAUGAAACACGAGAAGAAAAAGGCAUUCCUGGAUGACUGAAAACAAGGAAGCAAUUUUCGACUUCCGCUUUAUGUUCAGAAGCAUCAACAACAUACAAGUCUGUCCACACAGGCCUUGACUGCACAGCAAGCUUCAAAAAAUGUUUGUCACCAGAGCAAGAUAAUUUUUGCAACUUGUGAUAAUAAGAAGCUGGUUUGAUGAAAACCUUGCAGUUGUGAAAAAAAAUGAUUUUUUGAAAUUUGUGGUUGAUAAAAAUGGUUUCUCACA